ACGGAAGGCAGCAGUGGGGAAUAUUGCACAAUGGGGGAAACCCUGAUGCAGCGACGCCGCGUGAGUGAAGAAGUAUUUCGGUAUGUAAAGCUCUAUCAGCAGGGACGAUAAUGACGGUACCUGACUAAGAAGCCCCGGCUAACUACGUGCCAGCAGCCGCGGUAAUACGUAGGGGGCAAGCGUUAUCCGGAUUUACUGGGUGUAAAGGGAGCGUAGGUGGCCAUGCAAGUCAGAUGUGAAAUCCCGGGGCUCAACCCCGGAGCUGCAUUUGAAACUGCGUAGCUAGAGUGCAGGAGAGGUAAGCGGAAUUCCUAGUGUAGCGGUGAAAUGCGUAGAUAUUAGGAGGAACACCAGUGGCGAAAGCGGCUUGCUGGACUGCAACUGACACUGAGGCUCGAAAGCGUGGGGAGCAAACAGGAUUAGAUACCCUGGUA
rnacentral:rRNA from 2 species